AUGGAACUAGCUAUGCUGGAGGAACUAGAAGAAGAAGAUAUGUUACCUCCUGACUUAUAUAGUAGAAAAGUGGAUAUCAACGCUGAGCUCUAUGAGCUCCUAGUGAAUGAGGAAAUCUUUUGGCUUCAACAGUCUCGUGAGCGCUGGCUUCUUAAAGGAGACUUGAAUACUGACUAUUAUCACAAAAUUGCUAAUGGACGGAAAUGUAAAAAUACAAUCCAAUCACUUAGAACGGGAGAGACAGUGAUUGAAGGCACGAACAAUCUGAUUGCACAUGCAACUGAGUUUUACAAAGAUCUGUUCGGACCAGCCCCUGGUAACCAGAUUCAUCUUGAUCCGGGAACCUGGUCGACUGAGGAGAAAUUAGAUGAAAAAGAUAAUAAGGAUCUUUGCCGAGAAUUUACCGAACAGGAGGUCAAAGAGGCUUUGUUUGAUAUGGCCCCUAAUCGAGCCCCUGGAUCCGAUAAUAUCCCUGCUGAGUUCUAUCAAGUGUGCUGGGAUAUCGUUAAAGACGACAUUAUGGCCCUUUUUAAAGCUUUUCAUCAAGGGACGUUGGAUGUCCAGAGGCUUAAUUAUGGAAUUAUUACUCUGCUCCCAAAAGUUUCUGGAGCCGAGAAAAUACAGCAGUACAGGCCUAUUUGCCUGCUGAGAUGCCCAUAUAAACUGAUUACCAAAGUCCUCGAUCGAAGAGUUGCUAUAUAUGCAAACAAACUCAUUAGCCCUACUCAGAACGCCUUUGUAAAAGGAAGAAAUAUCAUGGAUGGAGUUUUGUCCCUCCAUGAAAUUCUUAACUACACUUAUGUUAAGAAAAAAGUGGGGAUUGUCCUUAAAUUGGACUUUGAAAAAGCAUAUGAUAAGGUGAAUUGGGACUUCCUCCUAGAAUGCCACAAGAUGCGGGGCUUUAACGAUACCUGGUGCAGAUGGAUUGAACAGAUACUGCAUAAUGGGACAGUUAGCAUCAAACUUAAUGGUAGUGUUGGGCCAUAUUUCCAAAAAAAGUGA
rnacentral:rRNA from 1 species